UACGAAGGGGGCUAGCGUUGCUCGGAAUCACUGGGCGUAAAGCGCACGUAGGCGGGUCGUUAAGUCAGGGGUGAAAGCCCAGGGCUCAACCCUGGAACUGCCUUCAAUACUGGCGGCCUAGAGUAUGACAGAGGUGUGUGGAACUCCGAGUGUAGAGGUGAAAUUCGUAGAUAUUCGGAAGAACACCAGUGGCGAAGGCGACACACUGGGUCAUUACUGACGCUGAGGCGCGAAAGCGUGGGGAGCAAACAGG
rnacentral:rRNA from 1 species